UUACAAGUUAAAGAAUAGCAUUUCCAACUGAACUAUGACCUCUUUGUCUACUGUACUUCUACUCUUGGUGUCAUUGGUUGCGUGUUACUUUAGCCAUGCAGUCGCAACAGGACCUAUUCUUGAUGAAGCAUGUACUGAUACAAGCAACUGUACAACAAGUGAUGCAAAUUCAGAAUGCAGUGCCGCCGAGAAAUGUCAAUGUAAAACAGCUACUCACUACAAAUACAAUAGUACGUUCUGUGCCACAAAAAUAGCUUACGGUUACCCCUGUCUUCCAACUUCCCAAUGCAAGGAUGAAAACACUACAUGCCGAACAAAUUGUACCUGCAUUGAUUCUCAUUUCCGUGACUCUUCCUCUUGUAAACCUCGCAUUUUUCCAAACAAAAAAUGCGAUGAUAAGGGAAAUUCCUCUUGUGUAGAUAACGCAUAUUGUAACCAUACCAACACCGGUUUUUGUGUUUGCGGCAUAAAUUUCAUUGCAUCGAAUACAAGCUGUAAUUCUGCAGUGGCCAUGGCUGUAGUUGAGAUCUCCACCAUUUUUAUGUGCCUCAUGUUGGCAUACUUAGAAGUGUUAAAAUAGCUGCCAGUCUUAAAUAGCAGUACUUGUGUGUGACUCAAAGAUGUAGAUACUUCAAUAGUUUAGUAAAUAUUGUAAUAGGCAGCGAAAAUUGAAAAUGUUAUAAACAUCUGUGUUCAAACAAAAGGCAGUAUUAACUAUUUAUUUUAUUUAGUAAGGAGGAAAAUAAAAAUUGCACCGUAACAGGCAAAACGAUGGCAUGCUGCCAUUUUCCUCACAUUGUAAAGACAUUCAUAAGACCAUACUAAUUGACGUUUUGAUUUCAUACUUAAUUACCAUUUGUUAAAAAGUUUGUUUAAAAACUGAUAGUUGAAUAGUUGCAUAUUUUAAGGAUUUUUACAUUAAAUUUUAAUAUUAAAGUUUUAAUUAACCUUA